rnacentral:lncRNA from 1 species
CCAGCUUUGUCUUCUACAACUGCAGUGUCCACAACUCGUGUCUGUCCUGUGUGGAGAGCCCCUAUCGGUGUCACUGGUGCAAAUACCGCCACCUCUGCACCCACGAUCCCCGCUCCUGCUCCUUCCAUGAAGGACGAGUCAAGCUGCCAGAGUGUCCAGAAAAUGGAACGACUGGUGAUGACCCUUAAAACCAAGGUCCUGACCACAUACCACCAUCAAAGAUCCUGAAGUGCUUUUCGUGAGAGGAAUGGUGUCAACCCAAAUUUCCUGGCUAAAUCCUAGUCUGGUGGAACAGCAUUCUGCUGAAGUGUCAAAACUGUAUGAAUGUGUAUAGGGGAAGCUGUGCAGAAGACAGACACUAAACUGCUCUCUGAUAAGUCACUGCCAUUAUAAUCUGCAGGAGAUCUUUUGUCAUCUCAGGCCUUGUACACAC